AAGUCGUAACAAGGUCUCCGUUGGUGAACCAGCGGAGGGAUCAUUACUGAGUACUACACUCUCUACCCUUUGUGAACUAUUAUACCUGUUGCUUCGGCGGCGCCCGCAAGGGUGCCCGCCGGUCUCAUCAGAAUCUCUGUUUUCGAACCCGACGAUACUUCUGAGUGUUCUUAGCGAACUGUCAAAACUUUUAACAACGGAUCUCUUGGCUCCAGCAUCGAUGAGAACGCAGCGAAACGCGAUAUGUAAUGUGAAUUGCAGAAUUCAGUGAAUCAUCGAAUCUUUGAACGCACAUGGCGCCUUCCAGUAUCCUGGUAGGCAUGCCUGUCCGAGCGUCGUUUCAACCCUCGAGCCCCUGUGGCCCGGCGUUGGGGAUCUGCCACGGCAGGCCCCUAAAACCAGUGGCGGACCCGAAGGCCCUCUCCUUUGCGCAGUAGCAUUCGCCUCGCAUCGGGAGUCCUCGGCGUCCUGCCUCUAAACCCCCCACAAGCCCGCUUCGGCGGCACCAAGGUUGACCUCGAUCAGGUAGGAAUACCCGCUGAACUUAA
rnacentral:rRNA from 1 species